UAAGUAAGUAGCCUUAGUAGCUUAAUAAAAGCA
rnacentral:tRNA from 1 species